rnacentral:rRNA from 1 species
CCGCGGUAAUACGAAGGGUGCAAGCGUUACUCGGAAUUAUUGGGCGUAAAGGGCGCGUAGGCGGAUGUUUAAGUCGGGGGUGAAAGCCCAGGGCUCAACCCUGGAAUUGCCUUCGAUACUGGGCAUCUUGAGUACGGGAGAGGUGAGUGGAACUCCGAGUGUAGAGGUGAAAUUCGUAGAUAUUCGGAAGAACACCAGUGGCGAAGGCGACUCACUGGCCCGUUACUGACGCUGAGGCGCGAAAGCGUGGGGAGCAAACAGG